rnacentral:lncRNA from 1 species
UAGGGGAGAUCAUUCUGGAAUUUUCCCAGCAUUUUUUUCAGUGUUUUCCUCAGGUUUCGUAUGAUUCCCAAACCAAUAUUAUCCAGUUUUAGUUUUAAUUUUCCUGCAAACCCUGUCACUCAGGGAGAAGAGAUAAUUCAUAGCUGCUAUGUUCCUUAGUGUCUUUGCCAAUCAAAACAUGCAGAUUGCUGUUCUACAGGCAAUGCGGUUAUCAUGAUUCAAGACAUUUGGCUCCUUUGUGAGGUUCUUCUGGCUUAUAAAGGAAAAUUCACACCAAGGAAGAAGAAAACCAUCAGGGCAUUAAAUAUUUAUUUGAAAAUUUAAAUUUUUGGCUACAGAGAAGGGCCUAGGUAGAGUUCCACAUUUAACAAGAGGGCUUACUGAAACAAUGUCUACAGACAUAACUCUCGCAAUUUGCUGACAGAUUUGCUGAACACCUCUUUUUAAAAGAGAGAUAUAACUCAGUGUUAUGAAAGACCCUUAAAUAUAAACAAAUACCUUCUAAUUUUGGUUUGUAAGGUGAUGCUGGUGAAAUAGGAAAAAUGGAUUGCCAAUCAUAUGACUUAUAGUGAUGUGAUGAGGAAAUUAUUCACCUCUUAUUCAUUCAGACUCUGGGUAACAAGCUUGAAGUCAAAAGCAAUCAUCCAUAACAUGGCUAGAAGUGUGACCUGUCAUGUCUCACACAUAGAGAAUUUUUACAUUCAGAUGACUCAUUCUCUUUGGAUUGUUUUGCUUUGGACCAAAUCUUGCUCAUUUCAAAAGAAGCUGUGUUUGGAGAAUGAGCUCUAUGAUCUAGCCACAGUGUUGGCAGUUACAGCAGGUGCUAAGGACUCUACCUAUCACAGGACUAAAUAUGUCUGUCUUCAGACCCCCGCUGUGGAACUCAUCUGCAUUUAUGCAAUCUGUCAUCAAACUGGCAUGCAUGUUCAACAAAACACUGAAGGCAUUUUGACAUUUUGA